rnacentral:rRNA from 1 species
GGGACAACAGUUGGAAACGACUGCUAAUACCGCAUAAGCCCACGGAUCCGCAUGGAUCUGCGGGAAAAGGAUUUAUUCGCUCUAGGAUGGACUCGCGUCCAAUUAGCUAGUUGGUGAGGUAACGGCCCACCAAGGCGACGAUUGGUAGCCGGACUGAGAGGUUGAACGGCCACAUUGGGACUGAGACACGGCCCAGACUCCUACGGGAGGCAGCAGUGGGGGAUAUUGCACAAUGGGGGAAACCCUGAUGCAGCGACGCCGCGUGGAGGAAGAAGGUUUUCGGAUUGUAAACUCCUGUCGUUAGGGACGAUAAUGACGGUACCUAACAAGAAAGCACCGGCUAACUACGUGCCAGCAGCCGCGGUAAAACGUAGGGUGCAAGCGUUGUCCGGAAUUACUGGGUGUAAAGGGAGCGCAGGCGGACCGGCAAGUUGGAAGUGAAAACUAUGGGCUCAACCCAUAAAUUGCUUUCAAAACUGCUGGCCUUGAGUAGUGCAGAGGUAGGUGGAAUUCCCGGUGUAGCGGUGGAAUGCGUAGAUAUCGGGAGGAACACCAGUGGCGAAGGCGACCUACUGGGCACCAACUGACGCUGAGGCUCGAAAGCAUGGGUAGCAAACAGGAUUAGAUACCCUGGUAGUCCAUGCCGUAAACGAUCAUAACUAGGUGUUGGAGGAUUGACCCCUUCAGUGCCGCAG